rnacentral:rRNA from 1 species
UAGGGAAUCUUCCGCAAUGGACGCAAGUCUGACGGAGCAACGCCGCGUGAGUGAAGAAGGUUUUCGGAUCGUAAAGCUCUGUUGUUAAGGAAGAACGAGUGUGAGAAUGGAAAGUUCAUACUGUGACGGUACUUAACCAGAAAGGGACGGCUAACUACGUGCCAGCAGCCGCGGUAAUACGUAGGUCCCGAGCGUUGUCCGGAUUUAUUGGGCGUAAAGCGAGCGCAGGCGGUUAGAUAAGUCUGAAGUUAAAGGCAGUGGCUCAACCAUUGUAGGCUUUGGAAACUGGUUGACUUGAGUGCAGAAGAGGAGAGUGGAAUUCCAUGUGUAACGGUGAAAUGCGUAGAUAUAUGGAGGAACACCAGUGGCGAAGGCGACUCUCUGGUCUGUAACUGACGCUGAGGCUCGAAAGCGUGGGGAGCGAACAGG